rnacentral:rRNA from 1 species
AUUGAACGCUGGCGGCAUGCCUAACACAUGCAAGUCGAGCGGAGCGGCGAACGGGUGAGUAAUGCCUAGGAAUCUGCCUGGUGGUGGCGGAUCAAGUCCGGAAGGGGGCGCUAAUAACGCAUACUAUCAGAGCAGUCUAGGUGGGAUUAGCUAGUUGGUGGGGGAAUGGCUUACCAAGGCGACGAUCCGUAACGGGUCUGAGAGGAUGAUCAGUCACACUGGAACUGAGACACGGUCCAGACUCCUACGGGAGGCAGCAGUAGGGAAUCUUCGACAAUGGGCGAAAGUCUGACCCAGCCAUGCCGCGUGUGUGAAGAAGGUUUUCGGAUUGUAAAGCACUUUAAGUAGGGAAGCGUUACCAACAGAAUAAGCACCGGCUAACUACGUGCCAGCAGCCGCGGUAAUAC